CAACACGACUUGCGCGAGUUCAGGUAGUAGCCAUCUUUCUUUAUUGCUUCAUCGCGUGCGCUUGUUCAACAUUACGCAACUGUACUGCGCACACUACGGCAGCUGAGAAGGGACAUUACGGAAUCACCACUUCCUGCACACAACACACAGUAAAUUACAGUAUCGACAUCUCAGUAUCCAUCCGCAUAUCACCAGUGGCUUUCUGGAGAUCCCGAGAGACGUUUCAACUUACGAUAAAACUAUUAUAUCGAUUCACAGCAAAUAUAGCAACGAGUACCUCAGUCAUCUGUUUUUCUAAGGCCCAAAAACGGAAGUUGAGUUUGCAGCAUUGAAGUGCUAUCUAAAGAGAACACUGAAAAUGGUGAAGAUGGACCACUGCUAUGCUAAGAUGGCGACGUCCAGUCAAAGAGAAGGUGGAAGAGAAUCAGCGCCACAAACUCCCAGCACAUCAUCAACGGAGAAAAAGCCCCGAGCUGCAGAUAACGCUCCAACAUUCAACGUCCCGACUCUCAGUCCCAUACUCUUGGUGUUCCUCUUCUCUCUCUUCCUACGGACACACUUUGCUCCUCUCCUUCUUCGACCAACAGUAGUCCAAUUUAGUAGGUCGACAGCACCGAUGGCGAUGGUUGUUAACCCGGGCCUCGACCGAUCCGACAUCCAGAAACGCGCCACUCAGCUUCAGAGAGGGAGCUCCGCUUUGAAGCAGGGGUACUCCCAGCGUCCCCGCAUUAAAGAGGAAGAGAAGGAACUCUGGAACACUCAGGAUAUGGGAGAUCUUCUAAGGCCGGAAGAGACUGAAGACCAUGAAGACAAACCACCCGAGUCAUCAUGUUGGUUGUGUCCUUCAGAUGACCAGCAGCUGAUUGGUCAUCAAGAAGAACGUCCCACUCUGCUGCAGGGGGGGAGCUCCACUUUGAAGCGAGAAGAUCCACAGCUCCCUCAUGUUAAAGAGGAAGAGGAGGAACUCUGGAUCACUCAGGAGGGAGAGUGUCUCCCAGGGCCAAAGUUGCCACUGAUCGUUGUCUCUGUGAAGACUGAAGAUCAUGAAGACAAACCACUUGACUUCUCACAGCUUCAUCACUGUCCAAGUGAGGAGAACAGAGAGGUGGAGCCUCCAAGCAGCAGAUCACCACAACACAUGACAACAGAAGCUGAUGGAGACCACUGUGGAGGAUCACAAGCAGACAAGCGCUUCGCUCCACUAUCAGAUAGUGAUGACACAACAUCACACUCUCCUGAAGAUGAAGACGGGGACGACACCCAAGAAUCUUUGAGCAGUGAUACAGACUGUGAAGUUGAUAGGAGGACUCACACUGACAACAAACACUCUGAAUGCUCUCAAAAGAAGACAGACAUCCAGCAGCACCCCCAUGUUAAAGAGGAAGAGGAGGAGUCACAGCCCCCCCAUGUUAAAGAGGAAGAGGAGGAACUCUGGUCCCCUCAGGAGGAGUGUUUUCUAGGGCCGGAGGGGGCUGAUCUCACCAAGUUGCCACUGACUGUUGUCUCUGUGAAAAUUGAAGACCAUAAAGUCCAACCACCUGAGUCCUUACCUUCUUUGUGUCCUUCAGACGUACAGCAGCUGAUUGGUCAUGAAGAAGAGAGUCUCCCUAAGCCGCAAGGGGGGAGCUCCACUUUGAUGGAAGAGGAUCCACAGCCUCACCGCUUUAAAGAGGAACAGGAAGAACUCUGGACCACUCAGGAGGGAAAGUGUUUUCUAGGCCUGGAGGAGGCUGACCUCACCCAGUUGCCCCUGACUGUUGUCUCUGUGAAGACUGAAGAUGAAGAGCAGAGGCAAGCAGACAAGCUCUUAGCUCCACUAUCAGAUAGUGACCACACAACAUCAGGCUCUCAUGGGGACGAAGACAGGGACAACACCCAAGAGCCUUUGUGCAGAGAUACAGAUUGGGAAGGUGAUAUAAGGACUCACACUGACAACAAACACUCUGAAACAGGUAAAAAUGUGUCGCUAAAAGAUUUUAAAUGUAGUGACUCGACAGACGUCCAGAAGCUGAUUGGUCGUGAAGAAGAGUGUCCCCUUCAGCAGAAGGAUGGGUGCUCCACUUUAAUGCAGGAGGAUCCACAGCUCCCCCAUGUUAAAGUGGAACUGGAGGAGCUCUGGACCAGUCAGGAGGCAGUGUGUCAUCUAGGUGUGACCUGCUCAGUUUGUGCCAAAAGGUUUUCUGAUGAUUAUAAUUUGACUGAACACAUGCAGACACACACAGGAAAAAAAUCUUUUGAUUGUCCAGUUUGUGGUCAAAGAUGCUCUCACAAGGCAACUUUGAAGGUACACACAAGAACGCACACAGGAGAAAAACCUUUCAGUUGUUCAGUUUGUGAUAAAAAAUUCCAUCGAAGUACAAAUCUGGCAUCACACAUGAGAAUGCACACCGGAGAAAAACGUUUUAAUUGCUCAGUUUGUGGGGAAAGCUUUACCAGCAAGAACAGUUUGACAUAUCACAUGCCGAAACACACAGGAGAAAAACCCUUUGGUUGUUCAGUUUGUGCUAAAAGAUUCUCUCUAAGUGCACACAUGGUCUCACAUAUGAGGAUACAUACAGGAGAAAAACCUUUUAGUUGUUCUGUUUGUUGUAAAAAAUUUGCUCGAAACACGGCUGUGGUAUUACACAUGAGAACGCACACAGGUGAAAAACCUUUCAGUUGUUCUGUUUGUGAUAAAAGAUUCUCUGAGAAAGGACAUAUGUUAAGACACAUGAGAAGGCACACGGGUGAAAAACCAUUUUGUUGUUCGGUGUGUAGUGAAAGCUUUUCCAACGGGUCUAGUUUAAAGUAUCACACGGCGAAACACACAGGAGAGAAACCCUUUAGUUGUUCAAUUUGUCGUAAAGCAUUUGCUAUUAAGGGGCAUAUGAUUAAACACGAAAGGACACACAAUCGUGAAAAACCUUUUAGAUGUUCAGUGUGUGGUAAAAGCUAUUCUCACAAGUCAUCUUUGGUAAAACACAGGAGAACACACACAGGAGAAAAACCUUUCAGUUGCUCAGUUUGUGAGAAAAGAUUCCUUGUCAGUACAGGUCUGGCAUUACACAUGCGAAGGCAUACUGGAGAAAAACCUUUUACUUGCUCUGUUUGUAGCGAAAGCUUUUCCUACAAGUACAGUUUGACGUAUCACAUGCGGAAACACACGGGAGAAAAACCUUUUAGAUGCUCAGUUUGUGAGGAAAGUUUUUCUCAUAAGACAAGUUUGAAAGUUCACAUGCGGACACACAAUGGAGAAUAAUCUGGCCUGUAUGUGAUAAAGGAUUGCCAAAUCAUACAGGUGCAAUGACAAAGGUGAAAAAACACAUAGAAAAGUAUAUCCCUCAUGUGCUAGAGUGCUAAAAUGGCAACAAAACAACCUUAACUGGUUCAAAACUACAUUGUUUUUCUUAUCUUCUUUAAUUUAGUGCGCUGCUAAAAAGUGGAACUGCACAACUUUGGUUGAGGGCAAUAUGCAUAGUGGCGUCCGUUUUCCUGACUUUCCUUCUUUUGGUUCACAUAAGUGUACAUGAUCGGGCUGCCGUUGUUGUGGAGGGAUUAUCCACAACAUAGCAAUGUGCGUGUAUGAUUUUUUUUUUUUUCCCCAUGGGGCCUACAAUUCUGGCCACAUCCCUGUCAAUGAUAAUGAAAUUGUGUUUGCGUCCUGACAAUGGCCGACCAUACAGUGUAAGUCACAUGGUCUCCUCUAACAUAACAAUGCUUCCAUCUACUUUAAUACAGAGACAUGAACUGCCUUGUGACGCAAAUGAGAUUAUGGAGACAAUGACUGCUCUUUUUUGGGACAAUACUAAUUUUAGUAUAUCCAUCUAUUUUUAUUAUAUUUCUUUGUAAAUACGUGUGCAUGUGUGUGUGUAUAUAUACUAUACUAUCACCUUCUGCUGUAACCUUUUUAAAGACAUUUUUUCUGACUCCACUAGCAACUAACAACUGGAUAACAGGAAAUGGAAUGAAUUUUUAUGUCCCUGGCAUAAAGUACAGUAUGUUUAGUAUAAAGAUGCCUCAGUCACUACUGGUGAUAGUACAGUCGGAGUCUAUAUUGUAUCACGAAUCAGUUUUGUAAUGCAUGACGAUAUAUGCACAUGGAUAGGCCUGUCACGAUCAUCGAUAAAUUGAACCAUCAAUAAAAUUGAUGAUGUGGCAGCCAGAAAUUCCACCAACUGGGAACCGGAUUUGGAUUUGAAAAACGUGACCUGAUCAACUCUCAGUCUAUACAACAGAAAUGGCAUCCAUGCACAGUGGAUGGGAGAAGUAACACCAGAUACUGUAUGUUGUGUACAGUGGCGGUUGUGGCUUUAAUGGUGCGCUGUGCGAGACCCCCCCUUUUGGCAUCCCUCAAAUGUAACGUUUGUGGGAUCUUGUCCCUUUGCCCAAAUGGUUCCAUCAUCUGCAUAUAGAACCCAAAUAUAAAGGAAGAAGAUGAUGUGAAUGGAUGUGCAUGGCAUUACCUCUAUCCAUGUAGAGCAUUAAUAUGGUUUAUUUUUAUGAUGGCCUGAACAAUAUACUGGAUGUGCUGAGCUUAAAAAACUGGUAUAUCUGUUGUUAGGAGUGCAAUAUUUUUCACUCUGUUUUAGAUAAGCACUAACAUGUUGCCGUACUUAUCUACCACAGAGAUAUGAAACACGAUCGCAAGCCCUUUCACUUGGAAAAAACACACUGGUAUAUCGCACACACACACACACACACACACACAGAGUUUCUAGAUAAGCCACCUUUUUAUCUCUGUCUGAGGAGAGCUUAGCUGUCCAAACCAAGACUGGCUGGAACCAGUUUAAAAUAAAAAAAAUUGAAGUUUUCACUCAUUCCACCACCUCUCUGAUAGUAGUCAUAAAAGAAAGAGGAACACGGUUCCUCUUUGGACUGCGCUAAACCUUUGUUGGCAGUAGGGAUGAAGAUCUUGUGAGAUUAAAAUGUGACAAGAUUUCUCGUUCACAAAAAAAAUGUCUCAUGGUCGCUAGGCCUGGGACAGUAAUAAAUGAAUUAAUUAAUCACACAAUAAAUGAAAAUGGACUUGAUAAUUUUGCCGGCCUUAAUAUAUUGCUAUGAACAUGCGUGUCUCUUUUCCCUGGUCUCUCUUUUCCAAACAGGUAGGAGGGGGAUUCACUCAGUGCAUUGGUUUUAGCACCUUGGCGCGUUUGUUCCAUAGAACAACGGCAUGAAUGGAGUGAGCCCUUUUAUCAGUCAUACAGUUUCUUUGCCUUGGUAGGUGGAGGCGGGGCUUCUAGCAUACACAUAGAGUGCAGAAAAGUGUAAAAUAGUAGAAAUUAAAUUAAUAGAUUGCAAUAUAUUGUCAUAUUUUUAUAUUUUAUCAUUGUGCAUUUAUGAAAAUCUCGUCUUGUCCUUAUACACCCAAUCUUGUGUGUCGUCUCAUCUCAUGAACUGAGUGUCUCUUGACACCCCGAAUUGGCAGGUAAACUCUCUGUCCAUCUUUGCCAUUGUAAUUGUUUCUAUCUACCCCUUUUUGAAUUUAAUUGUAAACUGUCCUGGAGACUCAUAGAUUUAUUUCACAGCUGUUAGAAUAAAAGAGCUUGAGUCCAGUAAAAAGGCUGUUCCAAACACUUAAAAUCAUUUGUUAAUAUAACAGCUUGACUAUUAGGCCAUACCUGUCCGUCUAUUUGAACAAAGGGGCAACAUUCUUACAUACUGUACCAGGAUAUGUGGUAGCCUAAGUUUAAAUUCGAGGGAAAGGUUUGUAGGGUUGUUGAAGGCAUUUCCAACAUGUGAUGGUAUGUAAAAACCACCAUGGAUGUGCAUUUUUACCACUUCAGUUAACAUUACUUGAAAAUCACCUACAAAAGGCUUAAAAUAAGCUCAUAUGCAAAAAGACAAAUAUUACAACACCCAUUUAUUACAACACCCAUUCAGACAGUCACACACACAGGCACGAUUGAAAAACUGUGUGGCUUGCCCUGGCCCAAAACCCUGCUACUGAUCGAUCAACUGUGUCUUGCUUAUCAAACCUGUACCUGGCUGAUUUCUACCUACAGUAUGCCAGCGCAUUUUUGGGUAACCCUAGCAAGUGCCUCACCAGAGAUGUACACACACACACAGUGGUGGGAAAAAGUGUUUCACCCUUCCUGAUUUCUAAUUGUAUUGCCUGUCACACUUAAAUGUUUCAGAUCAUUAAAAAUUUUAAAUACUAAUCAAUGGCAACACAACUGAACACAAAAUGCAGUUUUUAAAUGAAACGUUUUAUUAAGGGAGAAAAAAUCCAAACCUGCAUGGCCCUGUGUGAAAAAGUGAUUGCCCCCUAAACCAAAUAACUGGUUGGGCCCCCCUUAGCAGCAACAACUGCAAUCAAGCAUUUGGGAUAACUUGCAAUGAGUCUCUUACAGCGCUGUGGAGGAAUUUUGGCCCACUCAUCUUUGCAGAAUUGUUGUCAUUCAGCCACAUUGGAGGGUUUUCCAGCAUGAAGCGCCUUUUUAAGGUCAUGCCACAGCAUCUCAAUAGGAUUCAGGUCAGGAUUUUGACUAGGCCUCUCCAAAGUCUUCAUUUUCUUUUUCUUCAGCCACUCAGAGUUGGACUUGCUGGUGUGUUUUGGGUCAUUGUCCUGCUGCAGAACCCAAAUUGGUUUCAGCUUGAGGUCACCAACAGAUGGACAUUCUCCUUCAGGAUUUUUUGGUUGACAGCAGAAUUCAUGGUUCUAUUUAUCAAGGCAAGUCUUUCAGGUCUUGAAGCAGCAAAACAGCCCCAGACCAUCACACUACCGCCACCAUAUUUUACUGUUGGUAUUAUGUUCUUUUUCAGAAAUGCACUGUUGUUUUUACACCAGAUGUAAUGGGACACACACCUUCCAAAUAGUUUAACUUUUGUCUCGUCAGACCACAGAGUAUUUUCCCAAAGGUCUUGGGGAUCAUCAAGAUGUUUUCUGGCAAAAUUGAGACGAGUGCUAAUGUUCUUUUUGUUCAGCAGUGGUUUUCAUCUUGGAACUCUGCCAUGCAGGCUGUUUUUGCCCAGUGUCUUUCGCAUUGUGGAGUGAUGAACACGGACCAUAACUGAGGCAAGUGAGGCCUGCAGUUCUUAGGCUGUUGUUGUGGGGUCUUUUUUUCAACUCACCUCUUGGAUGAGUUGUUGCUGCACUCAUGGGGGUAAUUUUGGUUGGCCGGCCACUCCUGGGAAGGUUCACCAUUGUUGCAUGUUUUUGCCAUUUGUGGAUAAUGGCUCUCACUGUGGUUUGCUGGAGUCCCAAAGCUUUAGAAAUGGCUUUAUAACCUUUUCCAGACCGAUGGAUCUCAAUUAAUCAUCGACCAAUACGUAAAUUUGUUUGAUGAUCUGAAACACUUAAGUGUGACAAACAUGCAAAAAAAAAAAAGAAAAUCAGAAACGGGGCACACACUUUUUCACACCACUGUACAUAUAAAAUACAUAUGUAUUUUAUAUACACAGCAUAAAUCUAAAUUAGCUACAAUAGACUGCAAAAGCAACUUCUCCUCGACUACUUCUUGGAGUUGGAUCUACACUUGCAGAAAGGAGAGGUGCAAUUUUGUACUUGUAGUGGCUGUUGUUGUGACUGGCUGUCUUUCCAAUCUAUACAAACUGAAUGGUCUUUCUUUGCACAUGAAUUUGCUCCAACAUCUAGAAAAGCUGUGCGUAUAUGCGCCCUGCUAACAGUUAUGUCAUGUGUGUUAAAAAAAAAAAAAAAACGUCUCGAGGGACCGUCAGAGGCCAUUUAUGUCCACAAGAAGACAAAUGAAAGAUGCAGAAGAUUAAAUAAAUGUCAGGUUCAAACUCCUGUGACACUUGUAAAACACAGCAAAAUUACAGAAGAGACAAGACAACAAAUAUAGAUUUUUAUUCGCGAGGAGAACGGAGGAACGUACUAGAGUUACUUUCCCACACCGUUCUGAAUACGCUCUCCGAAAACCUCUCUUUAUUUUCUAUUGGGCGUUCCCUAGUUACAGGAGAGUUCAGCUUCUCAAGGAAGGGGCCUACUACAGCUGGACUCUGUGUCUUUGUUUGGCUAUGUGUGUGUGUGUGUGUGUGUGUGUGUGUGUGUGUGUUGUUAUCAUGCAUGUGUUUAAAUCACUUUUCUAACAUCACAGGGCAUGAACAGGAGUAGAAGAGUAGCAUGGCCUUGUGCAACUAAAAACUCCCCCACUUCUCUGAAACACACAAGACUGGUCUUUUGUUCUUCUCACGGGGCCUGCUUGCGCCUUUCUGUGCACAAGGGUACAGUAAUACAACAAGCAAUAGUAUUUCUAUAAAAUGGGUGAUAACUUAUAUACACGAAUAUACAUUUCUCUAACAAUAAGACAAUAUGUUUAAGUAUGUGGGUACAAUAAAAACCCACCAGUUUAAUUAGUGUCAGAAUGUUCUUGAAGAAGACACUUUUAAUAUGUGACAUGAUCCCUGGACAAGGACACCUCCUGGUGGACAAUAAAAAAACAUAAUUUUUGAAUUCACAAUUGGACACAGGUUUAUCUAAUACAACUUGGGUUGUUAUUUAUUUCAUGUUAUUUCGUUAAUGGAAAGUAAGUUAGACAGUAUGGCCCUAUUUUUUUAUGUACUCCGAUACAUUAGGUGGCGUUAUGCACCUUUACAGUCAUGGCUGCAACCAUUAUCCAAAAGAAGAAGAAUUAAAAGCGGAAGAAGAAGGCGGGCUGAACGACUGUAGCUGCCGACAGAAUUUUCAAAAAUACGACAAAGCAGUGAUAUAUACUCACAGCAAAUAUAUCAAUAAUAACCUAAGAGGCUCGUCUUUUGUAAAGCCCACGAAACGGAAGUUGAAUGUGGAGCAUUGGAGUGCUAUUUGAAGUGAAGAUUUGAAGACGUGACAGCAGACGAACCACUGCUAUGCUAAGAUGGCGACGUCCAGUCAAAGAGAAGGCGGAAGACAAUCAGCGCCACCAACUCCCAUCAAAUCAUCAAAGGAAAAGCCUGCAGAUCACGACUUCCAACAGCUGAUUGGUCAUCAUAAACAACGUCCCAAAGAGCCGCAGGGGGGAAGCACCAGAUUGAAGCAGGAGGCUCCACAGCCCCCUCAUGUUAAAGAGGAAGAGGGGGAACUCAAAGUCACACAUGAGGGAGAGUGUCU